UUCCUACGGGACGCAGCAGUAGGGAAUCUUCCACAAUGGACGAGAGUCUGAUGGAGCAACGCCGCGUGAGUGAAGAAGGGUUUCGGCUCGUAAAGCUCUGUUGGUAGUGAAGAAAGAUAGAGGUAGUAACUGGCCUUUAUUUGACGGUAAUUACUUAGAAAGUCACGGCUAACUACGUGCCAGCAGCCGCGGUAAUACGUAGGUGGCAAGCGUCGUCCGGAUUUAUUGGGCGUAAAGCGAGUGCAGGCGGUU
rnacentral:rRNA from 1 species